rnacentral:rRNA from 1 species
AUGCACCUUACUACUUGGAUAACCGUGGUAAUUCUAGAGCUAAUACAUGCUGAAAAUCUCGACUUCGGAAGGGAUGUAUUUAUUAGAUUUAAAAACCAAUGCCCUCUGGGCUCUCUGGUAAUUCAUGAUAACUGCGCGAAUCGCAUGGCCUUGCGCCGGCGAUGGUUCAUUCAAAUUUCUUCCCUAUCAACUUUCGAUGUUUGGGUAGUGGCCAAACAUGGUUGCAACGGGUAACGGAGGGUUAGGGCUCGGCCCCGGAGAAGGAGCCUGAGAAACGGCUACUACAUCCAAGGAAGGCAGCAGGCGCGCAAAUUACCCAAUCCCGACACGGGGAGGUAGUGACAAUAAAUACCGAUACAGGGCUCUUUUGGGUCUUGUAAUCGAAAUGAGUACAAUUUAAAUCCCUCAACGAGGAACAAUUGGAGGGCAAGUCUGGUAAACGUUGCUGGUGCCAGAGAGAGCCGCCCCUCCGUAAACCGUGCGGCUAGUCGAGUGCUCGCGUCAGUGGCGGGUGAGUACCGGCGAGACAACCUGGGUCGGGGAAGGCUAAAGGGCCCCCGGGGGGCCUACGCUGAUCCCGAGCAGAGCCGCGCCGAGAGGGCCGGCCUGUGUAGAGCGCGCCAAGGUGUCGGUCCGGGGGAGUCGCAUCCCCCGGGCUUAAGGUACGUGCCAAUCCCCUGCGAAAGCAGGGCCCUGCGGACGGAGCACCCGUCAUGCGAAGCCGCAGGGGGCUGGCGCGCCCGCCGGGGCGCGCCCGCCGCGAACGACAGUGGCCAGCAGCCGCGGUAAUUCCAGCUCCAAUAGCGUAUAUUAAAGUUGUUGUGGUUAAGAAGCUCGUAGUUGAACCUUGGGCCUGGCUGGCCGGUCCGCCUCACCGCGUGCACUGGUCCGGCCGGGCCUUUCCCCCCGCGGAACCCCAUGCCCUUCACUGGGCGUGGCGGGGAAACGGGACUUUUACUUUGAAAAAAUUAGAGUGCUCCAGGCAGGCCUAUGCUCGAAUACAUUAGCAUGGAAUAAUGAAAUAGGACGUGCGGUUCUAUUUUGUUGGUUUAUAGGACCGCCGUAAUGAUUAAUAGGGACAGUCGGGGGCAUCAGUACUCAAUUGUCAGAGGUGAAAUUCUUGGAUUUAUUGAAGACUAGCUACUGCGAAAGCAUUUGCCAAGGAUGUUUUCAUUAAUCAGGAACGAAAGUUAGGGGAUCAAAGACGAUCAGAUACCGUCGUAGUCUUAACCAUAAACUAUGCCGACUAGGGAUCGGACGAUGUUAUCUUUUGACUCGUUCGGCACCUUACGAGAAAUCAAAGUGCUUGGCUC